ensembl:lncRNA
UGAGUGAGUGAGCGAGUGGGAGAGAAGGAGCAGAGUUUUUGUUAAUGUUGUGUGUGGACGUAGCGACCGGAGAAACCCAUGUGCUGUAACCGUGUUACUCAGUGUUCAAUAAAUCUUCAAAGAAAGCAUACAGCGGGCGUUUUAUUCACUAACCGGCAGGAGGAAGGAAAGUGAAGGGUAUAAACCCCAAGUAUUAGCAACAGGCAAUACUUGGCCCUGGAGCAGAGAACGAAGUCUCCAACUACGGUCAGAGACGGACAGGCAGGAAAGGUUAACAACGUGAUCAGCAGCGAACGAACCGAGCACCGAUACGUUUGCGUCGCCUUGCACUGGUUCAUACUUCGACACAAGCUUCGAAGCAGGAGGGUCGGAGGUAACAACAAUAUCUGUCUGACUACCCGUGUACCGAACCCCUGCCUGAAGUAAGGCAAGUGAUUGAUUCCAGGAGCAGCAGUCCCCAGACUGGGGCGUCAGUGGCUGCACCUGGAUUCCUUCCCUCGCAACACAUAAAGGAAAAGGGGAAGCACCUUGGGAGUGCGUAGGCAAGCUGCCCAUGGGUCUACACCACCCGUAGUCAUCCUCCUGUCUAGAAACACUAGGCAAGACCUGGGCGGACCACCCCCUGUAUUUGGUUAGUGAGCCUUGCUAGUGCUCAAGCUAGGUUAGGGGGGGGUGUUUCAGGUCAGAUAGGCAAGAGGGACUGUUUUGUUCAUUGUUUUGGUUCCGCCCAGCCCCUUUUCCCAAGCAACCCGUAUAUAUAUAUAUAUUAAUAAACAUUCCUUUUU